GGCACUCUUCCCAAUUCUCAUGUUAGGUGUGCUGUAAUCUAAGGAGCAUGCUUGUCUCUGAAAUGUAAAUCUUCACUUAGACUUUCUAAGCAAGUUUUCAGUCCUGGAGAAUUAAUGUCCUGCACAUCUUCUGCAACUCACUGAGGAGGUGUGAACUUUAUAUAUCGAGGCUAUUGACUCCCCCUAACAGUAGGAUAUGAUCUUUGAAACAUUUAUUUCCCAAAGAAAGCAUCUCCUCAAAUUGUUUCCUUCAAACGAAUGUCUGGAUCGCUCCUUUGAAAAAAAUGGAAGUCAUGAGUUGGCUAGAGUCUGAAGAGGAUGUUUUUUCCCUGUCACAUGUGGACACCAGACUGGCUAAUUUAGGGUCUUCAGAAAUCUGUCAAGUCUGAGUAAGAAAUAUAAGAAAAUAUUAAAAUGCCUCCACGGGGUUGAAGUGUCUGUCUGUGCAGGUUUAAAGGAAUGUAAAUUCUUUUAAAAAAAGUUUUUUGUUUUUUUUUUAUUUUGAGAGAGAGAGAGAGAGAGAGAGCAGAGAGAGAGGAAGGGAGACAGAGAGAAUCCUAAGCAGGCUCCAUACCAUCAGCACAGAGCCUGAGGCAGGACUUGAACUCACAAACUGUGAGAUCAUGACCUGAGCUGAAAUUAAGAGUCAGACCUUUAACCGACUGAGCCACCCAGGCACCCCAAGAAUGUAAGUUCUUUUUAAUUGCUUGGAAAUUUUAAGGAAGAAAAAAAGACCUUCUUCUGGAACAAUUCCUUUCUGCGAUGGAAUGGCUGGGUGGCUCAGUUGGUUAAGGGUCUGAAUCUUGAUUUCAGCUCAGGUCAUGAUCUCGGGGUUGUGGGAUUGAGCCCCAAACUGGGCUCUGCACUGAGCAAGCAAGGAGCCUGCUUGGGAUUCAAUCUCCACUCCUCUCUGGCCCUUCCCCUGCUGUGCUCAUUCUCUCUCUCAAAAUAAAUAUUUUUAAAAAAACCAAAAACUGCUUAGAAUAAAAAAAAAAAACACCCUCUCACCAGUUGACUGAGAACCAGUGAUAUCAUCACAUUGCCUUUCUUCAAACAUUAACCCCUUAACACCUCAAGGGCCUUUCAACCAGCUGAAGACAAAGCAAUGGAAACCACACACUUGCUUUGUUGACUUGCAGGUGUGUGUCUAACACAUUCUUUCUCAGACUAGGGUAUUUGGAACACCUAUAUUAGAAUCCCCCAAGAUCUUUCUUUUUUAGUGGAUUACUGGGCUAUUUUUCAGAGCUACUGAAUCAGAAUCUUUGAGUUAGGAGCUCUGAAAUCUGUAUUUUUAAUAAGUAAUCAUAUAGUUCUUACAAAACACCAAACUUGAAGAGGCAGGUCAAGAAAUAUGGCAAAAAGAGAGGCCUGCCAAUAUUAAGCAUAUAUUAAAUAUAUAAUAUUAAAUGUAUAUUAAUAUAUAUUAAAUUAUAUUUAUUAUUACAUUAUUAUUAAAUAUAUUAAUAUAUAUCAAGUAUCAAACAUAUAUGUCAGAUAUAUAUAUAUAUAUAUAUAUAUAUAUAUGAAAUGGAAGCAAAAUGAAAUUUAGCUGGGACUUUCCAGAUAAAAGCAUAUGUAAUAAAAAUCAACUAUAUUAUAUUUUGUUUUGUUUUGUUUGUUUGUUUGUUUUAAUAUGAAAUUCAUUGUCAAAUUGGUUUCCAUACAACACCCAGUGCUCAUCCCAACGGUGCCCUCCUCAAUACCCAUCACCCACCCUUCCCUCCCUCCCACCCCCAUCAACCCUCAGUUUAUUCUCAGUUUUUAAGACUCUCUUAUGGUUUGGCUCCCUCCCUCUCUGUAACCUUUUUUUUUCCCCCCUUCCCCUCCCCCAUGGUCUUCUGUUAAGUUUCUCAGGAUCCACAUAAGAGUGAAAACAUAUGGUAUCUGUCUUUCUCUGUAGGACUUAUUUCACUUAACAUAACACUCUCCAGUUCCAUCCACGUUGCUACCAAAGGCCAGAUUUCAUUCUUUCUCAUUGCCAGCUAGUAUUCCAUUGUGUAUAUAAACCACAAUUUCUUUAUCCAUUCAUCAGUUGAUGGACAUUUAGGCUCUUUCCAUCAUUUGGCUAUUGUUGAAAGUGCUACUAUAAACAUUGGGGUACAAGUGCCCCUGUGCAUCAGCACUCCUGUAUCCCUUGGGUAAAUUCCUAGCAAUGCUAUUGCUGGGUCAUAGGGUAGAUCUAUAUUACAUUUUUUAAGGUACCCAAGUUCUGUCUCUCUUCAGCAUGCCUGUUAAAUUAAUAUUGAAAAUAAAAAAAAUAAAACAAACGUGCAAAUUGAAGCACAGUAGACCCUUGCAUUCUCAUGUUCAAAGUUAGUUAUUAGUGAUUGCUUUUUUUUUUCUUAAGACCACAGAAAGCGGAAGUGGGAAUGAGCCUGGAAAUAUCAAUAUUCUUUGGGAUUUUAUACUUCUUUUCAUCUUCAAAGUGCCUUACAAAAUUCUCUAAUUAGGCUCACACGCUCUGGCUCCUAGUUGUAUCUCUAAUCAUAAGACAGCAUACCUGCUCUUCGUUCCUUAGCUCUGAUAAACGUGCCAUUCUUAAUCAUUACUAAAUUAAAGGGGGAAAAAGUGUUUGUAAUAAUUUCUACUUAAUUAAAACAAAUCUGGACAUUUCCUUAAAUGUACGUCCAAUUGCCUGGACCCUAAUCUAUAUUAGCAAAGUUUGGCCAUUAUUUAUUCAGCACACAGAUAAGUUUUAAUUGUAGAAUUAUCUAGAAUUAAACGUAGUGGUUAAAACAGUUGCAUUUCUGACCAACCUAAAAUGUUACUCGAAAGGAUUUCAUUUAUUUCCUUGAAAAAUUUUUAGUUUUACAUAUCCUUACUGUUUUAAAAAUCACUUUUUAGCUGGCUGUGCUUUUUAAUAAACUUUUAGGUGUAUGUGAGAUAGGUUAGUCUUUAAAUUGAGAACUAAACGUGGAGAUCAGGAAGUCUAUAUUUUAUUUUCAUUUCUGGCACUAACUAGUUAUAUGAUUUCAGAUAAGUCAUUUAUCAUUUCUGGAUGUUGGUUUCCUCCUCUGUAAAUUAGAGACGUAUCUUCCAGCUCUAUGACCCUAAGAGUAACUGUAUGCCUCUCAGCAUGUCUAGCCACGCACGUGUGUUCAAGAAGCCUGUCUAGCAUGUUCUGUUAACAUCAGGUGCCUGUAGAGCUUGAGCAUCAGAAGAAGCUACCUGGUCACCAGGCAUUUCAUCCCUCAGCUAUAAUAUGGCCAAUUAAAUAGCAGUAGAACUCGCCAAAAAUAGAAGCAUCUGAACCUAAGUCUUUCAAGCGUGUCUUUGGCUUGAACCCACGUUGUAUGGACAAAGACUAUGGAGUCACCCAAAUAAUGUUUACGGAGUCACUGGAAAAUGUUACCUUUACUUUCUUCCCUCCAUCCCUAACCGAGGCCUUCUUCAGAAUUCAAGUCCCUUUCUCUUGUUUCGCCUGCUGUGGAAAAGUAUGAAAAUAAAUUGCCAUUUGAAGCUUUAUUGAUUACUCACACCUUGAGUGAAGGUGAUGUCGUGUCCUUUUCCGAGAGCAUGUGUUGGGUUGAGAUGAGGAGGAAGGUGAAAGCUUUGGUCUGGGGGAGCGUGGGUGUCGGGGAAGGGACAUGAUCUCCGUCAAACUGGAAGAAAGAAUGAGAGAGUGAAUGAUGAGAAUGGAGGAUGCACACAUGGUCGUCUAGGAAGCAGAAAGCCCUGCCUGCCCACGUGAUGCAGCAAACCGUAGCGAUGGCCUGGUCACGAGGACCUAUUCCUGUAAACAGGAUUCCCUGCAUUUGCAACCUCCUGGGGGCAUAUUCCUUUCAGGUAUAGACUCUGGACCACAAAUAUAAAAAAUAAAAGAUAUGGGCCACCUGGGUGGCUCAGUCAGUUGAGCGUCUGACUCUGGCUCAGGUCAUGAUCUCACCGUUUGUGGUCCAGGCCCUGCGUCGGGCUCUGUGCUGACAGCUCAGAGUCUGGAGCCUGCUUCCAAUUCUGUGUCUCCCUCUCUCUCUGGCCCUCCCCUGCUCACACUCUGUCUCACUCUCUCUCUCAAAAAUAAAUAAACAUUAAAAAAAUUUUUUAAAUAAAAGAUAAAAAGAGAGAGACAGACAGACAGACAAAGAGAAGAAAGAAAAGCAAAAUCGAUUCCAACAAGUCAAAGGUCCCCAUGAGUUCCAUGACUAUGUGAGUCCAUGCAUGUGUGCUGGUGGCCCGGGACCAGGAAGGGUUAACAGAAGUAAAACGGUCUCGCUUCAAAGUGGGUGGAAAGGUAAAGAACAUAAGGAUCACAUCUGCCUCUUAAUAAACAUACAAUGUGAUAUCUGGAUAGAUAAUUGUGUUUUCUGUGGAUGCUGUGAAUUCUCCCUUUGAUAAGAUCUAUUUCCUUUGGUACCUUGGUUUAGAGAUGAUCCAAAGAAAUACUGGUAAUAACCUCAGAAGCAAAAAAGGAAUCCAAAAUAUUCUGAUUUGAUAGUUUACUCCUAGUGGACUCUUUUUUAAUGUUUAUUUAUUUUAUAAGAGAGAGACAGAGACAGCACGAGCGGGGUAGGGGCAGAGAGAGAGGAAGACACAGAAUCUGAAGCGGACUCCAGGCUCUGAGCUGUCAGCACAGAGCCUGACGCAGGACUCGAACCCACAAACUACGAGAUCACGACCUGAGCUGAAGUUGGAUGCUUAACCGAAUCAGCCACCUGGGCGCCCUGUCACAGUGGACUCUUGAGAAGGAACACCACUGUGAUGGAUUCACAUUUUAACUAAAUAAAGCAUGUGCCUUUUCUCUCAGCACAAUGUUCUGUUAGGAAUUGGUACCAUUGCUUUGGUCAGACACCCCUCCAUGGCAGUUCGACAAUCAUGAAACCCAGUCUGUAAGCAAUGAGGACUUUAGGGUAAGCAUAUUCUUUUCUUUUUCAAUAUAUGAAAUUUAUUGUCAAAUUGGUUUCCAUACAACACCCAGUGCUCAUCCCAAAAGGUGCCCUCCUCAAUACCCAUCGCCCACCCUCCCCUCCCUCCCACCCCCCAUCAAUAGGGUAAGCAUGUUCAACAAAGAAAGACCCAGCAUGCCCACUCUAAUUUGAAUUUAAGAUAAAGAACAAAUAUAUUUUUUAGUAUCACUAUAUCUCAUGCACUGUUUGAGCCAUACUUCCGCUUGGUUUCUCUGAAAUUCAGGUUUCGCAGAGCAUCUUGAAUUUAAUAUGGCGACUUUAGGUGGUUUUCAGCAGAACUAUUUCAGCCUAAUCUUGAUGGUUUGAACUGAAAUAUGGAGACACACUUUGUUCCUUUUUCACAUUAUCCUGUUACCAAAAAGAACAGGAGACUGACUCAUUCCCGCAGGUUUGCAAUUAAAAUACCGAGUGUGUGACCAUGUGCGGCCAUAGCCUUUGGCCCAAUUUUAUCAUUUUAAAUAACCAUUUCUAAACAAGGGGAGAGUGCUUGCAAAUUACGGAAGACUUGCAUAAUCCGCAUAACGUCAGGAUUGAAUCCAGAUUAAAUAAGUGAGAGUCAAUGAUUCACUGGUGCUUUGUUAGUCACUACAUGAGUGUAAUUGUGUAAUACGUCUCUGUAUUUUUCACUCCUGCCUGUCUUUAGGAGACACAAUGCAUUGUUUUCCCUGUGUGACAUGCUCUGUGCUCCAACACGGCUUCAGACCCAGUCACAGCCCCGGCUGGUCUCACAGGCCCUGAGAACCCCACCUGGAACCCUGAAAGUGGCCAGGUACUUGUCGCCUGAAUGCCAGUUGACCCUUGAACAACGCAGUUUUGAAAAACCUUGUUUGUGCACAGGUUUUUUUCCACAGUAGAGUUCUAUAAAUUUAUUUUGUCUCCCUUAUGAUCUUCUUAAUAACAUCUUUUCUUUUAUAUACUGUAUGAGGCAUAUAUACAUAUAACAUACAGAAUACAUUUCACUCAACUGUUUAUGUGAUCAGCAAGGCUUCCGGUCAACAGUAGGCUAUCAGUAGUUAAGUUCUGGGGGAGUCCAAAGUUACAGGUGGAUUUUCAACUGCACAGGGCUUGGUGCACCUAAAAGGUCAACUACACACUCUAUGCACCAUCAGUAGGGCCUUUUGGCAGAUGAGAUUGACUCAUUCAGUUCCACUCAAGCAUCUUUGGUUUCCUACCUUCUAAGCACAAUGUACGAGUAAGGAAAGAAAAUAGUCAAAUAGGAAAUAAAAAAGCGUAAAUCUUUCUGAAAGAGUCUUCACUAGUCUUCUACAGCCCCUGAUUCUCAUAUGCCCCAUCAGUCUCAGUAGAUAACUCCCUUUCAGCAUCAGAGAGAAGAGGCGAUGCCUCUUCAGACCCUAAGCCCAGGGAAAGGGCUGAUUCUGUUGAGGCAAGUCCUGUCCUUCCAUACCUGCCCUUGAUCUGUCUUCCUCCUCUCUCUUCGGAUCUCUAGUCUUUUGUUUAUCCCCGCGCUGUUUUCAUCUUCAACCUCCCUCUCUUCUGUCUACUGCUCCACCACUGGUAUGCAUUCUCAAGUGUCUCCUCUAUCAGAAAAAUGGAAAUAAAAAUCUUGCCCUUGGCCCCUGUUGUUUCCAGCCAUCUCUCUCUUUCCCUUCCUUUAAAAGGGGUCUUCGAACACAUCUUCAGUCCCGCACGCUCCUUAACCUCUAUAAACACCGACUUCUGCCCCUGCUUCUCUCCCAGAAUUUCCCAAUAAUCACCCAGUUGUUCAAUCUAGCAGACUUUUUUGUUUCGUUCCUUAUUUAAUAAGACCUUUCUGCAACCUUGGACACUCACUUUUUGGGGUUCAUGACACUGCUUUCUCCUUAACUUUAUCCCACAUCUCUUGCUGUUUCUCCUCAGGUUCUUUUGUUGGCUUACCUUCCACAAAGCUUGCCUUAAAUUUGUGUCAUUUCCAAGUGUUUCCUUCUGAACUCCCAUCUCAUAGUAAUGAGCACCUUAUCCCUGCGUGAUUUCAAUUCUUCCCAUUGCAUCAACCACCAUGUGUGUUUUAGAGCAGAAACUGUGAACUCAAGCUGAGUUGAAAGCCAAGCUCCGCUCCUCGUCCGUGAGGCUGUAGAAGGGAAAUCACUAACUGUUCCUCCCCACACCAAAAACUAUCAUCAGUACCCUGCAGCCACAAACCACUGGGGAUAACACUACCAUUCGUUACAACAACCACACAGACUACUGGGAACAGCAAGGUGUCUGAGUAAGAGGAUGCUAGGAAGAACCUAAUACAGGAUCUGGGUAUCGGUUGGGUGAUUGAGGGCGGGUCUAAGGAAGAGGGCAAAUGGUCUAAACAGGGUGUUGUGGACAAUAACCAAGCAAACAAAUAAAUGUAAAAAGCCAAAUGUUUGUCAUUCAAUUUUACUUGAGCCGCAUCACAAGAUACACACACACACACACACACACACACACACACACACCAUGGUUGCAUAUAUAGUGGCAACAAAGUGGUUGGAAUGAUGACAAAGAACAUAAUUCCCAUGUACUUGCUCUGGAGAAAAUCAGACAGAGGGACGGGCAAGCUGCCAAAACUUUCGGUCUUUCAGAUGCACACUACAAAGUGCAGUCGCUUCUCUGAAGUUUGUCUGACUUCGUCUGCACAACCCAAGUCCAGAAAUGAGCUUGCCAAUCUACCACAGUCAUUUCUCCAUCAAGAGUUCCAGUAUCUCCCUGUUGAGUCUUUCCUGGAGUAUCUUACUCCUCUGGUUUCCUUGUUUCCCCAUAAAAUGAAAA
rnacentral:lncRNA from 1 species